CGAAAGCCUGACGGAGCAAGACCGCGUGAGGGAGGAAGGCUCUUGGGUUGUAAACCUCUUUUCUCAGGGAAGAAGUUCUGACGGUACCUGAGGAAUCAGCCUCGGCUAACUCCGUGCCAGCAGCCGCGGUAAUACGGAGGAGGCAAGCGUUAUCCGGAAUCAUUGGGCGUAAAGCGUCCGUAGGGGGCUCGUCAAGUCUGCUGUCAAAGCUCGGAGCUCAACUCCGACCCGGCAGUGGAAACUGGUGGGCUAGAGGGCGACAGGGGUAGAGGGAAUUCCCAGUGUAGCGGUGAAAUGCGUAGAGAUUGGGAAGAACACCGGUGGCGAAAGCGCUCUACUGGGUCGCACCUGACCCUCAGGGACGAAAGCUAAGGGAGCG
rnacentral:rRNA from 1 species